rnacentral:tRNA from 1 species
UGACGCUGCGGACUUAAAAUCCGUUGGCUUUAUUGACCGUGAGGGUUCAAGUCCCUCUACCCCCA